ACCUGCGGAGGGAUCAUUACACAAAUUAAAAUAUGAAGGCUUCGGCUGGAUUAUUUUUAUCACCCUUGUCUUUUGCGCACUUGUUGUUUCCUGGGCGGGUUCGCCCGCCACCAGGACCACACCAUAAACCUUUUUUUAUGCAGUUGCAAUCAGCGUCAGUAUAACAAAUGUAAAUCAUUUACAACUUUCAACAACGGAUCUCUUGGUUCUGGCAUCGAUGAAGAACGCAGCGAAAUGCGAUACGUAGUGUGAAUUGCAGAAUUCAGUGAAUCAUCGAAUCUUUGAACGCACAUUGCGCCCUUUGGUAUUCCAAAGGGCAUGCCUGUUCGAGCGUCAUUUGUACCCUCAAGCUUUGCUUGGUGUUGGGCGUCUUUUGUCUUUGGCCUCGCCCAAAGACUCGCCUUAAAACGAUUGGCAGCCGGCCUACUGGUUUCGCAGCGCAGCACAUUUUUGCGCUUGCAAUCAGCAAAAAGGACGGCAAUCCAUCAAGACUACAUUUUUACGUUUGACCUCGGAUCAGGUAGGGAUACCCGCUGAACUUAAGCAUAUCAAU
rnacentral:rRNA from 1 species